rnacentral:rRNA from 1 species
UACGUAGGGGGCUAGCGUUGUCCGGAAUCAUUGGGCGUAAAGCGCGUGUAGGCGGUCCGGUAAGUCCGCUGUGAAAGUCGAGGGCUCAACCCUCGAAUGCCGGUGGAUACUGUCGGGCUAGAGUGCGGAAGAGGCGAGUGGAAUUCCUGGUGUAGCGGUGAAAUGCGCAGAUAUCAGGAGGAACACCUAUUGCGAAGGCAGCCCGCUGGGACGUUAUUGACGCUGAGACGCGAAAGCGUGGGGAGCAAACAGG